rnacentral:tRNA from 1 species
GGUAUUAUAUUUUAAUGAGAAAAUUUAAUUUGCAAUUAAAAAGUAUGAUAAAAAUCUUUAUUACCA